AUAAGGUUAAGUUAAUAAGGGCGCACGGUGGAUGCCUUGGCACUAGAAGCCGAAGAAGGACG
rnacentral:rRNA from 1 species